AUAAUAUAUGAUGAAAUGAAAAAUAUGAUUAACUCACGAGUCCUGAGAAUAAAAUUGAACUCAACACUUAGCUCAGUUGAGCGUGAGUUACAGAUGAAAUAAAAUAUAUUCUGACAAAAUUCUCU